AGCAGACAGGCGCGGGGUCAGAUCGAGGGCUGAUGCCGAAACCUGUCGGGCGGGUUCCUGGGCCAUUCCCAGAGGUGUGGGAGGGACGGGCAUCCCGGGCCAGGCUCGGGAGAGCCUGGAGGAAGAGGAGGAAUUCGCACUUGGGGCAGCGUCCCUGGGAGCCCGGCGGAGCCCGGACACUCGGGGCCCAGAGCUGCCCGGCCAGCGUCUCCCCAGAUCCCGUCUGUGGCUCUGUGGACGGAGGCUCCCCCUCGAGUGCCCAGAACGGGGCUCCCGAGAAUGCCCGGCCAGGGGUUCUCCGCGGUGCCCUGAAGAGGGGAGCCGGGCACAGGGCCCCAGGGUGGCGCGGGGCAGCUCGAGCCCUGAAGCCCCCCCGGCCCCCCCGGCCCCCCCCCGGGCACCUCGCGGCCCUCCCAGGGGCUCACAGCCACACUCAGGACUUCGACAGAGGCCGGGGGGAGCCCAGACUGGGGGGCCGAGCCUGGGAGCUAUGGAGGCUCAAGAGGGCAUUCCCAGGCACCGGCUAAGCCCGGGGGCUCCCGUGCACCCCGUUCCACCUCCGGCCUGGAGAAGAGCUUUCAAGAGAAAGGAGGAGCCCCUCAACGCCCCCCGCUCUUCCCCAGAGCCAGGACCCGCCUUUUCACAGACCACUGAAGUUGGCGCUGGAGCUCUGGACGGGCAGGAGCCCCCGGCAGAUCAGGAAACUGAGGCAGCCCAUGAGCCUCAGGCAGCUGGAGGCAGGCCCUCUCCACUGGCACCUGCCACUGGCACCCACUCUACCAUCGGGCUUCCACUCGCAGCCCCAACUCAAAAUGCCCUCCCCUCCCAGGGCAUCAGCCUGGCUCUCAGGGCCGCAGCCCGGUGCCCAGAGGGCUCUGCCCAGCCCCUCCUGGGCUCCCCGCAGCCCCGUGCCCAGAGGGCUCCGCCCAGCCCCUCCUGGGCACCCCGCGCGCGCCCCCGGCUCCCCGCAGCCCCGUGCCCAGAGGGCUCUGCCCAGCCCCUCCUGGGCUCCCCGCAGCCCCGUGCCCAGAGGGCUCCGCCCAGCCCCUCCUGGGCACCCCGCGCGCGCCCCCGGCUCCCCGCAGCCCCGUGCCCAGAGGGCUCUGCCCAGCCCCUCCUGGGCUCCACAAGCAGCCCCGUGCCCAGAGGUCUCUGCCCAGCCCCUCCUGGGCUCUCCGUAGCCCCCGGGCCCAGAGGGCUCUCCCCAGCCCCCUCCUGGGGAACCUCGCA
ensembl:lncRNA